UUAGAGUUUGAUCCUGGCUCAGGAUGAACGCUAGCGGCAGGCCUAAUACAUGCAAGUCGAACGGUAAGCGCCCUACGGGGCGUGAGAGUGGCGCACGGGUGCGUAACGCGUAUGCAACCCACCCCCUGCAGGGGUAUAGCCCGGAGAAAUCCGGAUUAAUCCCCCAUGAGGAGCGGGAGAGGCAUCUCUCCCAUUUCAAAACUACGGUGGCGGGGGACGGGCAUGCGUCCCAUUAGGUAGUCGGCGGGGCAACGGCCCACCGAGCCUGUGAUGGGUAGGGGAUCUGAGAGGACGGUCCCCCACACUGGUACUGAGACACGGACCAGACUCCUACGGGAGGCAGCAGUAAGGGAUAUUGGUCAAUGGGCGGUAGCCUGAACCAGCCAUGCCGCGUGAGGGAUGAAGGCCCUACGGGUCGCAGACCUCUUUUGCCGGGGGAUAACGUGCCCAACGCGUUGGGCAGUGAAGGUACCCGGAGAAUAAGCAUCGGCUAACUCCGUGCCAGCAGCCGCGGUAAUACGGAGGAUGCGAGCGUUAUCCGGAUUUAUUGGGUUUAAAGGGUGCGUAGGCUGCGAGUCAAGUCAGCGGUGAAAUUCAAGGGCUCAACCCUUGCCGUGCCGUUGAUACUGACGUGCUGGAAUUCCGUUGCCGUGGGAGGAAUGUGUAAUGUAGCGGUGAAAUGCAUAGAUAUUACACAGAACACCGAUUGCGAAGGCAUCUCACGAAGCGGUGAUUGACGCUGAUGCACGAAAGUGCGGGGAUCAAACAGGAUUAAAUACCCUGGUAGUCCGCACAGUAAACUAUGAUAACCAGCUGUCGGCGAUAGAAUGUCGGUGGCCAAGCGAAAGCGAUAAGUCAUCCACCUGGGGAGUACGACCGCAAGGUUGAAACUCAAAGGAAUUGACGGGGGCCCGCACAAGCGGAGGAACAUGUGGUUUAAUUCGAUGAUACGCGAGGAACCUUACCCGGGCUCGAACGGUACCGGACGACUUCAGAGAUGGAGUUUCCCUUCGGGGCUGGUAUCGAGGUGCUGCAUGGUUGUCGUCAGCUCGUGCCGUGAGGUGUCGGCUUAAGUGCCAUAACGAGCGCAACCCUUGUUGACAGUUGCCAUCAGGUAAAGCUGGGGACUCUGUCGAGACUGCCACCGUAAGGUGUGAGGAAGGGGGGGAUGACGUCAAAUCAGCACGGCCCUUAUGUCCGGGGCGACACACGUGUUACAAUGGUGACUACAGAGGGAAGCUACCUGGCGACAGGAUGCGAAUCUCGAAAAGUCAUCCCAGUUCGGAUCGGAGUCUGCAACUCGACUCCGUGAAGUUGGAUUCGCUAGUAAUCGCGCAUCAGCCAUGGCGCGGUGAAUACGUUCCCGGGCUUUGCACUCACCGCCCGUCAAG
rnacentral:rRNA from 1 species